GACUGCUUACCAAAGUGGUUACUGGGUUGCCCUGCUAAGGCAAUGGUCUUUGACCGCGUGUGUUCGAAUCGCACAGUAGUCG
rnacentral:tRNA from 1 species